CAGCCGCCACGGUAAUACGGAGGGGGCUAGCGUUGUUCGGAAUUACUGGGCGUAAAGCGCACGUAGGCGGCUUUGCAAGUCAGAGGUGAAAGCCCGGGGCUCAACUCCGGAAUAGCCUUUGAGACUGCAUCGCUUGAACACGGGAGAGGUGAGUGGAAUUCCGAGUGUAGAGGUGAAAUUCGUAGAUAUUCGGAAGAACACCAGUGGCGAAGGCGGCUCACUGGACCGUUGUUGACGCUGAGGUGCGAAAGCGUGGGGAGCAAACAGGAUUAGAUACCCCUGUAGUCCCUGUCUCUUAUAA
rnacentral:rRNA from 1 species